ACUCUACUUCCUCUGUCCGAAAAAGCUUGUCCCUCAAAUGGAUGUAUCUAGCAGCAAGUUUGUGCUAGAUACAUCCAUUUGAGGGACAAGCUUGGGACAAGCAUUUUUGGACGGAGGGAGUACAAU
rfam:Triticum aestivum genome assembly, contig: Triticum_aestivum_CS42_TGACv1_scaffold_434108_5DL